rnacentral:rRNA from 1 species
GAUGAACGCUGGCGGCGUGCUUAACACAUGCAAGUCGAACGGUGAACACGGAGCUUGCUCUGUGGGAUCAGUGGCGAACGGGUGAGUAACACGUGAGCAACCUGCCCCUGACUCUGGGAUAAGCGCUGGAAACGGCGUCUAAUACUGGAUAUGUGACGUGACCGCAUGGUCUGCGUUUGGAAAGAUUUUUCGGUUGGGGAUGGGCUCGCGGCCUAUCAGCUUGUUGGUGAGGUAAUGGCUCACCAAGGCGUCGACGGGUAGCCGGCCUGAGAGGGUGACCGGCCACACUGGGACUGAGCAACGGCCCAGAGUCCUAAGGGAGGCAGCAGGAGGGAAUAUUGCACAAUGGGCGCAAGCCUGAUGCAGCAACGCCGCGUUAGGGAUGACGGCCUUCGGGUUUUAAACCUCUUUUAGCAGGGAAGAAGCGAAAGUGACGGUACCUGCAGAAAAAGCGCCGGCUAACUACGUG